UGGGGAAUUUUGGACGAAUUGGGGGCAACCGUGAUCCAGCAAUGCCGCGUGUGUGAAGAAGGCCUUCGGGUUGUAAAGCACUUUUGUCCGGAAAGAAAACGCCGUGGUUAAUACCCGUGGCGGAUGACGGUACCGGAAGAAUAAGCACCGGCUAACUACGUGCCAGCAGCCGCGGUAAUACGUAGGGUGCAAGCGUUAAUCGGAAUUACUGGGCGUAAAGCGUGCGCAGGCGGUCCGCUAAGACAGAUGUGAAAUCCCCGGGCUUAACCUGGGAACUGCAUUUGUGACUGGCGGGCUAGAGUAUGGCAGAGGGGGUAGAAUUCCACGUGUAGCAGUGAAAUGCGUAGAGAUGUGGAGGAAUACCGAUGGCGAAGGCAGCCCCCUGGGCCAAUACUGACGCUCAUGCACG
rnacentral:rRNA from 1 species